UACGUAGGGUGCGAGCGUUGUCCGGAAUUAUUGGGCGUAAAGAGCUCGUAGGCGGUCUGUCGCGUCUGCUGUGAAAUCCCGAGGCUCAACCUCGGGCUUGCAGUGGGUACGGGCAGGCUAGAGUGCGGUAGGGGAGACUGGAAUUCCUGGUGUAGCGGUGAAAUGCGCAGAUAUCAGGAGGAACACCGAUGGCGAAGGCAGGUCUCUGGGCCGAUACUGACGCUGAGGAGCGAAAGCGUGGGGAGCGAACAGG
rnacentral:rRNA from 1 species